rnacentral:rRNA from 1 species
GACGGGAUCCAUCGGAGAGCUUGCUCGAAGAUGGUGAGAGUGGCGCACGGGUGCGUAACGCGUGAGCAACCUACCUCUAUCAGGGGGAUAGCCUCUCGAAAGAGAGAUUAACACCGCAUAACAUCAACAGUUCGCAUGUUCGGUUGAUUAAAUAUUUAUAGGAUAGAGAUGGGCUCGCGUGACAUUAGCUAGUUGGUAGGGUAACGGCUUACCAAGGCGACGAUGUCUAGGGGCUCUGAGAGGAGAAUCCCCCACACUGGUACUGAGACACGGACCAGACUCCUACGGGAGGCAGCAGUAAGGAAUAUUGGUCAAUGGGCGGAAGCCUGAACCAGCCAUGCCGCGUGCAGGAUGACUGCCCUAUGGGUUGUAAACUGCUUUUGUCCAGGAAUAAACCUAAAUACGUGUAUUUAGCUGAAUGUACUGGAAGAAUAAGGAUCGGCUAACUCCGUGCCAGCAGCCGCGGUAAUACGGAGGAUCCGAGCGUUAUCCGGAUUUAUUGGGUUUAAAGGGUGCGUAGGCGGCCUAUUAAGUCAGGGGUGAAAUACGGUGGCUCAACCAUCGCAGUGCCUUUGAUACUGAUGGGCUUGAAUCCAUUUGAAGUGGGCGGAAUAAGACAAGUAGCGGUGAAAUGCAUAGAUAUGUCUUAGAACUCCGAUUGCGAAGGCAGCUCACUAAGCUGG